UACGGAGGGUGCAAGCGUUAUCCGGAUUCACUGGGUUUAAAGGGUGCGUAGGCGGAUUCUUAAGUCCGUGGUGAAAUCUCCAAGCUUAACUUGGAAACUGCCAUGGAUACUAUUAGUCUUGAAUGUUGUGGAGGUUAGCGGAAUAUGUCAUGUAGCGGUGAAAUGCUUAGAUAUGACAUAGAACACCAAUUGCGAAGGCAGCUCACUACGGAUAUAUUGACACUGAGGCACGAAAGCGUGGGGAUCAAACAGG
rnacentral:rRNA from 1 species